rfam:Pseudogymnoascus pannorum VKM F-4520 (FW-2644) contig_35, whole genome shotgun sequence.
GGACAGAUGGCCGAGAUGGUUAUGGCGCCAGGUUAAGGUUAUACCUUAAUGCAUGUGAUUCAUUCAUAUAGUUUCCUGGUCACGAAAGUGGCGUGGGUUCGAGUCCCACUCUGUUCA